rnacentral:lncRNA from 1 species
CCAGGACUGGGUUUGUCCCUUUAGAGCAGUGGAUUCCCUUGUAGCCAAGGCCAUCAAGCUCUAGAGGAUCCUCAGUGAGAGAUAUGACCUCUCAAUAUUCAAGAGUCACUCAUCUACAGGGGACCCUAGACUGCCCAGCAGUGAGACAUGGCAGGUGAAGUCCUGCCCCUGUCUCCCUUGGACCUGACUGGAUACAGCUUUCAUGAACCCAUGGAGCCAACCCUGCCCUGACAGCUAGCAAGAGGCCAAGACCAACAGUACAACUACAAUCAGGAAUGCGACUGUUAAGAGAAGAACACCUCAAGUGAGCAUGCGCAAAAUUUUGAGUCUCACUCUGUUGCCCGGGCUGGAGUGCAAUGGUUCGAUCUCAGCUCACUGUGACUUCCACCUCCCAGGUUCAAGACAUUCUCCUGUCUCAGCCUACUGAGUAGCUGGGAUUAUAGGCAUGAACAACCGUGCCCAGCCGUGUCUUCUCUUUUACCUGGCAACCCUACUAGAGGUACUAGUUGCCUUCAGUUUCAAUCUUUUCUUGAUUACUUUUGUGAUGCAUUGAAUUAAAUUUGAUUAGCCAUCCUUAACACAGCAUCUAGAUUCAGCUUUUUCCACUAUGCAAAUCAGGUAGUAUAGUCAUUCAUACUCUUUCCAUCUUCUAAAGUAUUGUUGAUGUAUUUCACCUGCUUUCUUUUGCUCUCUAUUCUCUAUGUGUUAGAGAAUAUGUACCUUCUUAUUUAUUUACUGUCUUUUUGUUGGAAUUUUUGGAGGGAGUGACAACAAAAAAUGUGUUUCAUAUGACAACAUGAACUGACAGUCAUUGUAAUUAUUUUUUAAAUGUGAGAUUUUGUUUCUAAGAUGUUCCUUCACAUACAAUUUGGCAUUCUCUGGAAUAGUUGUCUAAUAGUAAAUGAAUAAAGAGAAC